ACGGAGGGUGCGAGCGUUGUCCGGAAUCACUGGGCGUAAAGGGCGCGUAGGUGGCCCGUUAAGUGGUCGGUGAAAUCCCGGGGCUCAACUCCGGGGCUGCCGAUCAGACUGGCGAGCUAGAGCACGGUAGGGGCAGAUGGAAUUCCCGGUGUAGCGGUGGAAUGCGUAGAGAUCGGGAAGAAUACCGGUGGCGAAGGCGGCCUGCUGGGCUAUGGCUGACACUGAGGCGCGACAGCGUGGGGAGCAGACAGGA
rnacentral:rRNA from 1 species